rnacentral:rRNA from 1 species
UUGAUCCUGGCUCAGGAUGAACGCUGGCGGUCUUGCUUAACACAUGCAAGUCGAACGCAACCUUCGGGUUGAGUGGCGGACGGGUGAGUAACGCGUGAGAAUCUGCCUUGGGGUCGGGGACAACCACUGGAAACGGUGGCUAAUACCGGAUAAGCCUUUGGGUAAAAGAUUUAUUGCCCCAAGAGGAGCUCGCGUCUGAUUGGCUAGUUGGUGAGGUAAGAGCUCACCAAGGCAGCGAUCAGUAGCUGGUCUGAGAGGACGAUCAGCCACACUGGGACUGAGACACGGCCCAGACUCCUACGGGAGGCAGCAGUGGGGAAUUUUCCGCAAUGGGCGAAAGCCUGACGGAGCAAGACCGCGUGAGGGAGGAAGGCUCUUGGGUUGUAAACCUCUUUUCUCAGGGAAGAAGCUCUGACGGUACCUGAGGAAUCAGCCUCGGCUAACUCCGUGCCAGCAGCCGCGGUAAAUACGGAGGAGGCAAGCGUUAUCCGGAAUUAUUGGGCGUAAAGCGUCCGCAGGUGGCGAUUCAAGUCUGCUGUCAAAGCAACGGGGCUUAACUCCGUUAAGGCAGUGGAAACUGAAUAGCUAGAGUGCCGUAGGGGUAGAGGGAAUUCCCCGGUGUAGCGGUGAAAUGCGUAGAGAUUCGGGAAGAACAUCGGUGGCGAAAGCGCUCUACUGGACGGCAACUGACACUCAGCGACGAAAGCUAGGGGAGCCGAAUGGGAUUAGAUACCCCAGUAGUCC